rnacentral:rRNA from 1 species
UACGUAGGGGGCAAGCGUUGUCCGGAAUCAUUGGGCGUAAAGCGCGUGUAGGCGGCCAGGUAAGUCCGUUCUGAAAGCCCGGGGCUCAACCCCGGGAGGCGGAUGGAUACUGCUUGGCUCGAGUCCGGAAGAGGUGAGUGGAAUUCCCGGUGUAGCGGUGAAAUGCGUAGAUAUCGGGAAGAACACCAGUGGCGAAGGCGGCUGCCUGGCCUGUAACUGACGCUGAGACGCGAAAGCGUGGGGAGCGAACCGG